rnacentral:rRNA from 1 species
UACAGAGGUCUCAAGCGUUGUUCGGAUUCAUUGGGCGUAAAGGGUGCGUAGGUGGCGCCGUAAGUCGGGUGUGAAAUUUCGGAGCUUAACUCCGAAACUGCAUUCGAUACUGCGGUGCUUGAGGACUGGAGAGGAGACUGGAAUUUACGGUGUAGCGGUGAAAUGCGUAGAUAUCGUAAGGAAGACCAGUGGCGAAGGCGGGUCUCUGGACAGUUCCUGACGCUGAAGCACGAAGGCCAGGGGAGCAAACGGG